rnacentral:tRNA from 1 species
GCCUGGGCCGCUCAGUCGGUUGAGCGUCUGACUUCCGCUCAGGUCAUGAUCCUGCAGUUCGUGGGUUCAAGCCCCGCGUCGGGCU